rnacentral:rRNA from 1 species
GGAAUAAGUGCUGGGCAAGACCGGUGCCAGCCGCCGCGGUAAUACCGGCAGCACGAGUGAUGACCGCUAUUAUUGGGCCUAAAGCGUCCGUAGCUGGCCAGGCAAGUCCAUCGGGAAAUCCGCGUGCUUAACGCGCGGGCGUCCGGUGGAAACUGCGUGGCUUGGGACCGGAAGACCAGAGGGGUACGUCUGGGGUAGGAGUGAAAUCCCGUAAUCCUGGACGGACCACCGGUGGCGAAAGCCCCUCUGGAAGACGGAUCCGACGGUGAGGGACGAAAGCUCGGGUCACGAACCGGAUUAGAUACCCGGGUAGUCCGAGCUGUAAACGAUGUCUGCUAGGUGUGCCACAGGCUACGAGCCUGUGGUGUGCCGUAGGGAAGCCGUGAAGCAGACCGCCUGGGAAGUACGUCCGCAAGGAUGAAACUUAAAGGAAUUGGCGGGGGGGAGCACAAA